rnacentral:lncRNA from 1 species
GUGCCACCACCAGUCUCCACCACUAUUCUGGGGCAGAAGGCACCUAUUGGCUCACAAUGCUGUGGAAGAAAACAAGAAAGUCGUGAUGAUAACAAUGCAGUGUCUUCAUUCAUAAUGGAUUGCGGUUCCCCACUCAGGAAGAGGACAUUUUUUUUAAAAACUGCAUGGUACAACUGAGAGCUUGGAAGCUAUCCAUGCAUAAGUCUUAAAACCCAGCCGCUUCAUGGUUUCCUCCUUCUGUUGGCCUGGCCAGUGGACACAGUGGUCAUGUUCCUGGCAUGGAGAUGUCAUUCAUGGUCUCUCAGACCCAAGUGUUACCAAUGAAGGGUGUCCAGGUUCUUGACGCUUUGAACAAAGAAUUGGACAAAACUCACAAACAAAGCAAGAAAAGAAUGAAGCAACAAAAGCAGAGAUGUAUUGAAAAUGAAAACACACUCCACGGGGUGGGAGCGAGCCGAGCAGGCAGCUCAAGGGCCCAGUUACAGAACCUUCUGGGGUUUAAAUACCCUUUAGAAGUUUCCAUUGGUUACUUCGUGUACACCCUAUGUAUAUGAAGUAGUGGCCUGUGAUCAGUCUGAUUGGUUGGAAGGGACCAAUCAGAAUGCAAACAUCUGAUUAGUUGUGGAAAGUGAUCAAUUAGAGGCUGAAGUGAAGUUACAAAGUAGUACUCCCAUGCAAAUGAAGACUUGGCUCACAACCAACCUGAUUGGUUGUGAGAGGGGACCAAUCAGAGGUACUUUAAGUUUUUCACCUGCAAUGCAGAAAAAGGGUGGCAGAGGAGGGGUGUUGCAAAGGGAGUAGCCUCUGGUCCUUUUCUUACUUGGGCACUUGGGCGUGGAAAGUGGGGGUUUUCUUUUUGAUUUAGUUCUAGGAAGUCAGCGUGAAUCGGCCUUAGAUUCCCUGCCACCAGACCCUAUUCUCCUGCCUCACAAGUGCUCCUAGGAGCUGUACAUGCCUGUCUUUGUCUCCAUGUGGUCAGCUCGUUACAGGUGGGUCCUGCCAGGUCUCUCGUUCUUGCCUCUCUACUUCAAGAUGGCUAAUAAGUCCUGGUCCAGUGAGUCCCCAGUGCAGACAUAGAGCAGAAGGGAAGUAGGUCCAGUUGCAUUUCCUGCAGUUUAAUAAAGAACCCUGUGCUCUCUGGCCCAUCACCUAAAGCUGAUAUUGUGCUUGGAAUGUGCAGUGUUAUCCCAUCCAGCUUUACUACUGCUAAAGCUGAUACCACGCUUUGAUCCUCUGCUUGCUCAUUUUGCCAAGUUCUUAACUGCAUGGAAUUGGAAGGUGAGGGCUGGAUGAUUGAUUUUUCACCCUGCCCCCAAACUCCAACAACAGAAACCAAGGGUUCCUGAAGAGGGGCAGGGCAGCAAGUGGGAGACUGAAAGCGGGGCGGGGGCAGGACGGAAUGUCUUUGAAGUGAGUGUUUGCCUAAGGUGUGUGUAGAAAGAUAGCUACUUUUCCGUUUCUGCCUGCCUUUAAUCCAUUACAAUGUCCUAAUUAAAAACAUUUAAAAAGCUACAUUGGAAAAUGAUCCCUGAGGCUAGAAUACUGUUGGCACAGUGAAAAAGAUGCAAUCAAUAAGUAAAUAGACAAUGUCAGCCUGGAGACCUUUCAGAACAACAUGUCUACUCGGGGGAAAAAAAAUUACAAGUCGCUUUAGCCUAUUGAAAUAUUUUCCAAGAUCUUUGUUAAAUUUCAGGUAAUAAUAUUUCUUCCUUUGAACAAGCAUUGCAUGUUUGCCUUUGACUGAGAAUGGCCUAGGCUAGAGACCAUUUGGUAUUCAACUUGUCACUAUUUUAGUAUGGGGCUGGACCCCAAAAAUUCAUGCUCAAUGAAAUGAUUUUCACUUACUGAGGUGAAUUUACUUUUUGCUUCCUUCAGCAAUUCAUCAAUCUAAUGGGAGAAAGAGUAGCUAUCAUAAUAAUGAGAAUAGACUUCUAGGAGCAUGAGCCAAUGUCAAUACUUUAUUUAAUAAUGCAAAUUCUAUUACUACAUAUUUGGUCUCAAUCCAAAUUUGCUUUAAAUUGAGUUUUCUUGCCAUUGCACACUCCUAUCUCUCUGAACACACACACCACACACACCACACACACUUGUUUUAUUGCGCUUCAUUUUAUUGCACUUCUCAGAGAAGGUGUUUUUACAAAUUGAAGAUUUGUGGCAACUUUGCAUCAAGCGAGUCUAUUGGCAUCAUUUUUCCAAGACCAUAUGCUCACUUCCUGCCUCUGUGACAGCAUUUUUUAGCAAUAACAUAUUUUUAAUGAAGAUAUGUACAUUGUUUUUUAGACAUAAUGCUAUUGCACACUUGACUAAAAUAUAGCCUGAGUAUAAUUUUUAUAUGCCAUGGGAAACUAAAAAAAGUGACUUACUUUAUUGUAAUAUUUGCUUUAUUACUUUGGUCUGGAACUGAACUCACAAUAUCUCUGAAGUAUGCCUGUAUAGCUUUUCAUAACACAGAUAUCACAUUUGACCAGAUCCUAUUGUUACUGAACAAUGUUGAUGCUAACAUUGAUGAUAUCAAUCACUAUUACUGGUAUCAUUACCAACAUAUCAAUAAACAUUUUUAGAACAUUU